AAACCAACUCUUUAUUAUCACACGAAUAUGAAUACAAGGUCUCCGAUAUUACAAUGAAUAACAUCGGUACAGCGACACUACUACAUUCUCAGUUGCUCUAUGCAAGCAGCAGAACAACUCGAAGCAGCGGAAUAACUCUAGCAGCGGAACAACGGCGAUGGUGGUGAACUCCACUCCGCAGGGACUCUGGCUGGAACGCUUAUCCUAGCUUGCAUGAACGGAAACCACGACAAGCAAGCAAUCAAAUCCGGCAUGACCUGCAACCUGGCGUGACACGCCAGGUCAGUACAUUGAAUGUACUUGCAUGCUCACAAUAACCAGAAGCAUUCAAGACAGACAACAGCUUGGCAAUUAUAGGUUAAACAGGAAUUAUCAUGAUAUCAUCAAAAUAACAUGGCAUCAUCAGCAUAAACAUGAUACAACUAACUCAACCUGAACAUAGCAUGAACAUAUUAAUCCGACAAUACUAGCAUGCAACAUAAUGACACUAUAUGCACCACUUAUUCUGCAUGGCUACCUCGUAACCAACACAUGCAUCACUUACCAACCUCGAACAUCACACGAACAUACACAACUCGGUAUCCUCGAUACCAGUGUGAUCCUUACGGCGAUCACAACCAACUUAUCUCAUUGUUAUUAAGCACAUUAUUCUUAUUACUCUUGACUCAUGGUGUGACCUACUUUCGACCUGGGCCCUUAUCCGCGGGCGCGGCUAUCGAUAGAUUUAAUAUACACUCUGCAGAGGUUAGUACACUGUACCCACACUACAGAACCCAUGGCCUCGCACUCCCAUUCGGGUGGACCAACGGCAUUCCGGCAAAACCUUCGUACUGCCAUGACACUUUCCCGGCCACUCCGACUCACUCCCCACUGGGCUAAGUCAUGGGUGGCCCCGUGUCUACCUCCAGACACAACGACCACCACCGUGGCCAAAACAUAAACGAUCCCACACGGGGAUCCGUCGGCUAUAACAACUACGGGCACACAAGGUUAUGCCUGCUUACCGGGCCAGGGUAUAGCACGCCCAUAACCUUCCCUCGUUGGAGGCACCAACGAGAGGCACGACAAUAGACCCAAUUAGGACUGUCCCAUACCGGCAAGUGUGGUUGCACUGGUCAGCACCAAUUCAGCGGCACCAUGACUCAACCAACAGUUGUUCAAGUUCAAUUUAAUCCGGUUAACUUGAAUGCAAAUAUGCUGAGCCAUGAUAAAAUGCAUGAACAUGAUAUCAACAUAAUCAUGAGGGUAUCACAUAACUUUCCACCAUAUCAACAAUAAAUCAGAUCCACUAAGCAUCGCAUACUGACUAGCAUGACCAUCUCCAACAUCAACAUGUACUACUAGCAAGCAUAAACAUAUGAAAGGUAAUACUAGCAAGUAUAACAUGAUCACAUAGUACAAGACAACAUAGCACAAAAGUGAACAUGCAAAUCUGAACAUCACCGGAACAACAAUAACCAUCUUUUCAACAAGCAAACAUUUAUUAAAGAUUCAAGUUGAAAACCAUGGCUACUGCAUGACUAUCAUGCAAGUGGGUAUUGUGGCUUGCCUGGGAAUGAAGAAGGCACCGGGGGGAAGUGCGGUGAAGCCGCGGAAAGAAACACCGGAAAACGUUCUCUCUCGAAGGGGGCUGAAUAAGGGCAAGGGCAUAAAGGUCAUUUUCACAAUGUCAAACCAUAGUGAAAACAUGACCAACAGAACGGCCUCGGCGAAACAAAGAAGUGAGCGUUGGUUUCAUCUUAAACGGAGUUACGGAUAAAAAGAUAUAAGGGUUUUACUGCCAGGGACCUAUCUGUAAUGAAAAGAUUUUCACACAGGGGCCUGGACAGAAAAAGUGAAAGCGUAUUUUGGUGAUUACGUCUCCACUUACGCUGAUGUGGUGACGACCAGUCAAACAGAGG
rnacentral:lncRNA from 1 species